UUCCCAGCCGAGGUGGCAGCUUGAGUUCGGCCGCCCCCUCUCUUCCCUUCCCCAGGCCUGAGAGGGCGAGUUGUGGUGUUUUGUCCCCCCCCCUUCCCCGGAACCUCCCUCUCCUCGCGCCUCCGUUUCCGCGGGCGGGUGUUUCUGCCGCACCGGUCCCCCGCCAUGGCAGCUGCGGAAGGGAAGGACCCGCUGGGCUUUUUCGCCGCUUACGGGGCCAGCGACGACAGCUCGGACAGCGCGGGCUCGGACUCGGAAGGCGACGAAGGGCCCGGCUCGGGCCGCGGCGGGGAGGCCAAAGGGCCGCCUCCUCUGCCGAGGGGGAGCCCCGAGGGCAGGCCGCGCUUGCCAGGGCCCGACGAGCUGUUCCGCAGCGUCCACCGGCCGGCCUUCCUCUAUAACCCGCUGCACAAGGAGAUCGACUGGGAGAGCCGGGUCCUGCGAGCUCCCGAGGAGCCUCCAAAAGAGUUCAAGGCAUGGACGACACAUGCUGUUCCGCCCCCUGAAACUUAUAGUGUCAAAGAAACAAAGCCACCGCCACCUCCUGAGCUCGAUAUGGCAAUCAAAUGGUCCAAUAUGUAUGAAGAUAAUGGUGAUGAUGCUCCAAGGAAUCCAAACAAAGUUAACUUCUUACCAGCAGAAGAGGAGCAAGAGCACGUAGAAUCAGACUCAGAAAAGGACUUUGUCUACAAGAAGGCAUUGUUGGGACGCAAGCAAGAAAACAGCAGAAUGUUUGACAAACACACAGUGUUCCAAAAUAUCUGACGUUUGCUAUCUCAAACUCUGUUGCCUCACUCUGCCUAAUUGCGUCAAAUGAGAAUCACCAAUCAGCUUGGAAAGCAGACAUCUCUCCCCUCACAGACACGAAAAGGAGGCUCUGGACAAAAGUUGCCUACCAAAGGUCCCAGGUUCAGUCCUCAGCAUAUCCAGAAGUCAGUCUAGCAACUUCACUAUGCAGUUUUUGUCAAAUGCUGAAGAUGUACCACUUACCUGGCCCUGAGAGGUAUGUAUUUGAGGACCCACCCUAUUUUCAUGAGUUUAAGUUGUUUUGAACUGUUUCUUUUUUUAAUGUUUCAUUUUAAAUUGCUAUCACAUGCUCUGGGACCUUUGGAUGAAGGGUGGGUGGUUGUUAUCAUAAUCAUCAUCAUCAUCAAUAGUUUGGCCAGGAAAACAAUUCUGCAUUUCCUUGAGAGUCCACUAGGAGGUGCUAAAUUGAUGUUUUUCCAUUUGAAGCGGGUGCUUUUAAUAGGGCAGGAAUUUGUUUUGACUGAGGGGAGGAAAAUAACUUUCCACUCAACUAACUCCUUGUUGAAGGUUGCACACCUGCUGUCUUGAAUCUGUGCUCCCUCUGACCUGGAGCUUUUGUUUCUGCUUAACGGUCUUUGCAACGUUCCGUUUUUUUUGUUUGCUCUAGCCAGUUGCUUGAAAUGGCUUUUGUGUGUCUCAAGCGGCUGUGUUUGUAUUUCUUCACCCAAUAAAUAUGUUUAAAUAGCCAUGUCAGCCUUAAGUUAUGGCUACUUGUGGAGGUUGAAAACUGUGUUUUGGGGGUUCAGACCUGAACUCCUUAUUUACAUCUUCUAUUUAGUGUCAGGGCACAGCUGGGGGCUCAUAAAACCAACACUGGGGGGAAAGAAGAGGCGCACACACAAAGUAUCAUUCUUGACAAUUUGUCCUGCACAAACUAUUUGUGCAACUGGAGCAUCCAAAGUUUGAAGUGGAGCAAAUACCAGAUAGAAACGUACCGCAUUUUUUGCUCUAUAAGACUCACUUUUUCCCUCCUAAAAAGUAAGGGGAAAUGUGUGUGUCCCCUAUGGAGCGAAUGCAGGCUGCGCAGCUAUCCCAGCAAGAGGGAUUGCUGCUUUCACUGCACAGUGAUACCUCUUGCUGUUCUGGCUUCUGAGAUUCAAAAUAUUUUUUUUUCUUGUUUUCCUCCUCCAAAAACUAGGUGCGUCUUGUGGUCUGGUGCGUCUUAUAGAGCAAAAAAUACGGUACAUUCUAUUUGUGGAUAGCUUUAAAUUCAGGGUUGUUGUUAUACUGUUUCAAAAUAUUUGCUCCAAAUUUUGUUCUUUUGGGCAUUUCCUGCACCACCCCUCCUCAGUGCCUCAGCUGUUCAGUUGGCACAUUCUGGUUCUCUCACCCUGGAGUAAAAUUGCCUCACUCGAUGUGAAGAAAUGUGCGUGAGAGAAAUUGCCUCUGUGUUGCGACUUAAAAGGCCAAAGGUUAACCAAAGCAGUUCACCCCCCCCCCGGGGCAAAUGUCUUACCACCAGAUGUCCCAGGAAGCAACUGUGGAAUGUUAGAUAAAUCUCUGCGUGUUCCUGAACCAUGAACUAGAUUUAGAUUUAAGCCGGUCUGCUUCCUUUUAAAGUCCAUAAAACUAGCAGUUAAUUGUAAUCAGGUUAUUUGAGUCAUAUGGGGUUUAGGUACUGAGGUUCAUGUAAACAAGCCAGGACUAAAGAAAUCCAUUCAUUGACUGAGCAUUUUUAUUCUGCACCUCUCUCGCUGUUUGACGGCUUGUAAACACAACGAAAACGCAACUGUUAAAAUUUCAGCAAUGUUGUUGAUGAUUUCAUUAAAUGGCAGAGAUGAGGCGAUCUGAUUAUAACCAUGGUUUGAUUGCUGGACAUUGAUGGUUGGGCUGAACCAUAUCCUGUGUUCUAGUACAUAUUAUUUCCUUUUUAAAACAUGACUAGGUGCUGUGGGUUAAACCACAGAGCCUAGGACUUGCCGAUCAGAAGGUUGGCGGUUCGAAUCCCCGUGAUGGGGUGAGCUCCCGUUGCUCGGUCCCUGCUCCUGCCAACCUAGCAUUUCGAAAGCACGUCAAAGUGCAAGUAAAUAAAUAGGUACCGCUCCGGUGGGAAGGUAAA